rnacentral:rRNA from 1 species
CUACGGGACGCCGCAGUGAGGAAUAUUGGUCAAUGGGCGAAAGCCUGAACCAGCCAUGCCGCGUGAAGGAUGACGGCCCUAUGGGUUGUAAACUUCUUUUAUACGGGAAGAAACACCUCUACGUGUAGAGGUUUGACGGUACCGUACGAAUAAGCAUCGGCUAACUCCGUGCCAGCAGCCGCGGUAAUACGGAGGAUGCAAGCGUUAUCCGGAUUUAUUGGGUUUAAAGGGUACGUAGGCGGAAACUUAAGUCAGUAGUGAAAUCCCGCAGCUUAACUGUGGAACUGUUAUUGAUACUGGGUUUCUGGAAUAUUGUUGAGGUAGGCGGAAUAAGUAAUGUAGCGGUGAAAUGCUUAGAUAUUACUUAGAACACCGAUUGCGAAGGCAGCUUACUAAGCAAUUAUUGACGCUGAGGUACGAAAGCGUGGGGAGCGAACAGGAUUAGAUACCCGGGUAGUC